CCUGUUAUAGAUAUUUUGACCAAUAAUAAAAGAGAAAUGUAGAUGGGUAAGUGGUAGUGUACAAUCGGAAUAGAAAAAAGCUCACCUUGUUCAAUUUUUCAGGGAUACUAAAAAAAAAAAAAAAAUCCAUCGAAGGAUAUUUGAGCUACAGUAGGACAUUCAAUGAAAUCACGAAAUUUUGACGAACAAAGUCCCAUAACUCUGGAACGACAAUUCAGAAUUCCGUCAAAAACGAAAGGGGAUCAGGGUUUAUCAAUAUUAAGAUUGUGUUAAAAUUUGAAGAAAAUCUGUCAAAGGAUAUUUGACGUAGCGUACGACAUUAACAGACGGACGGACGGACGGACGGACAGACGGACGCGGGGUAUACCAUAAUACGUCCCGUCAUAGA